CCAGAAACCAACCGUGUGUACUGUUUUGUUGAGGUGUGUUGGUUAAAGACUUUUCGAAGUAAAGAGGAGCAUCUCAUCUGAACCUGAUGUCUAUCAUGGAUAUUUCACUGCAGUUCUGUGAGUAUCCCAACUUAACCAUGAAGAUGAACUGCAAACUGUAAGUCAUUAGUUUCUCAUUACUCUUGGGCUCAUUUAUGUAUUUUGCUUCCUGGUGAGUUAACCCAUUAGGCUACCUGCAGGUUGAUCUGUGUAGGACAUGGUUUCUCAACGGGGGCGUUAGCACAACCUAGGGGGGCGCUGGGAACGUGAUUCAAUUUUUUUCUUCUGGGUGAAAAAUAUGCUACCUGAAAUAAAUAGCCUAUUUUCAUUUAUUGGUUUCUAACCCCUCAACCGUCUCGGCUACUUUUUACUGUCUAUGCGCAGUGGAACAGUGAUAAUACAGCGCGGUUCGGUCCUGCACACGCCCGGACUCCCGUUACAUCAGCUAUCGUCAUGAUCUCUAUAGUAACGCUGAUAAACAUGAACCAAGUUUGCGGGUUAACAGUUCAAUAACCAACACAAUCAAACAUGGCCGAUAGCAAGAAAAAAAAAAUCAAAAUUUGUUUCAAAGUCCGUUUUCCUCCUUCCUCUUGUUCAGUUCCAGCUGCUCUGAGCGUAGUCUCCACGAAAAGGCCGUUGCAUUUCAAAUACAAAAUAUAUAGGCCUUAUUAGGCCUCUGCGUGCGGGCCACAGUGUACUGUCUAUUUAGGGCCAGAUAACACUGCAUUUUGCUCUGUGUGUGUUUUAGUGUUCCAAUGGGUGAGGUAGGUUUGUUUCUGAUGUUUUAUAAUUUGGUUGAGUCUAAUUGGUAUGUGCUCCGACUGGUCCUGUGUCUGAGCAGAGGGGGAACCUGUCUGUGGACAGAGCCUCAGGACCAGCUGAGUGAGGGGACUCCUGUUCAUCUCUUGGCUUUGCAGGGCUUUGUGGUGGAAGGAGUGGGGGUCACUUUGUUUUAGAUGUAGCCAAUAUUUAAUUGAUCGUUUUUUGGAUUUCUAAUAGAAGUGGAUACUGUCUAAUUCAGCUCUGCAGGCGUUUUUAGUGGUUGUCCUGUGUACCUGCAGAAUGCUUUUACAAAAUGCAGUGUUUGCAAUUUCAAUUGAAUGCUUUUCCCAUUGGUCAAAAUGUUGGUUUGUUUGUGGGCCCCACACUUCGCUACCAUAGAGCAGGAUGGGUUCAAUAAUCGCUUGAAGUAGUUUCAGCCGAAUUGGAAUCUGAACGUAAAUUUGUCUUUUGAUUGCAUAAAAAGCCCUGCGUGCUUUCUCUCUCAGUUCAUUGACUGCUGGAUUGAAACUUCCAGUGGGACUUAUUUUCAGGCCUAAAUAAUUAUAUUCUAAAUAGUUUACUGUUUUAUGUGUUCCUAUUGUGAAGUGCAAUGUGUUCCCCAGACAUCUGGGUCUUUUCUGGAAUAUCAUGGAUUUUCUCUCUCUCUCGUUCUCGUUCUCUCUCUCUCUCUGCAUGUCAUUAAUAGUUUGGUUUAUGUUGGUUUUAAUGGUUUCAGGUUCUAAGUUAUUGUUGUAAGCUGGAGUAAUGGGUUGUGUUCUGAUGUCUUCUUUCCAGCUACUCUCCUGAGCUCUGCAUCUUCAUCACAUGAUUGUUGCUUUACUGAUGAGGUCGUGGUCUGAGUGAGUGGAGGUGCAUACUGGGAUACAGAGCUGUCUCAAGUCUACAGGUCUGUAGACACGCCCCCUCAGGGGAAACCGAGUGUUUGAGAAACCGUUGUGACGUCAGUUACAUGAACUAGAAUGUUCUUUAAGACGGAGACAGGGAUUCAGUAGGAGAAACGCCAGGGGGAGAAGAGGGGGCUCCUCAUCUCAACGACUAAAACACAACUUCAGUCUGACACAGAACCAUGGAACACAUUAAACAGUCCCCUCCAGGCAUCGUGACUCCUCAGGAACAUUUUCAUUUCUUAUUUGGGGCCAUCCCCAGAUGGAUCCUGCUCCUCAAGAGCCAACCCCUUCCACUGGGUGGUCUUCUGAACAGAUGACCUCCUUCCUGUCCUCAGGCUGACUAAAGCUGCACCGUUUGCAUCUGUGAAGGCCCCUCAUUCAGGAAACUACUGGACUACAAACGCAUGACUUCAGAGACGUUGAAUCAGGACACAUUUUGGAGACGGCAAGCAUAAUCCAUCAUCAAUGUGGGACGCCACUGAAGAAUAAUUUACGUCUCUGGAGACAUUGGUUGUUUUUUUCUGGGUGCCCUGGCAAGAGAGCUAGGGGUGGAUGAUGGAAUGUUAUUUGGCAUGAGGUUACCCUGGUUACCCUGCAUGAUUGUUUUGACUUUCAUGGCUCAGUGGUGUGUGUUGGUUUGACAUGAGAUGGAUGAUUUUUGAGCAUCGCUAGGUGCUGUGUGGGUGUGUGUCUCCCACUCACACCUGGCAUGGGGUUCUACGUGUGUGUCCUGGGUUCUAUGAGUGUGUGUCCAGCUUGCUUUGACAGUGAUAAUGUUCAUACGGGGGUCUGUGUGAUUGGCUUGGGAUAUUGGAAUAGUCAAAUAAAUCAUUCCUGAUGGACGGCCACACGUUUACUUGAGGCCUCCAGUAGACGUGAAGAGCCCGGAGCAACGAUAUCCAACACACUGUGCAGGAAGGAGAGUAUCCAGAUCAAGUGUAAAAGGGUGCAAGCAGCGUGUUCAGAUCAGUGACUUCAAAAUAGGACUACACCAAUCAGGAUCAAUGGAGGAAGGACACCUAAAGGCAUUCCACAAGGAGAGUCUGAUGUUGGAAAGGGACCUCAAUGGAUAUUCAAGAUGACCUUCGGACCUGUAAUGAGACGGCUCUUCCUACCUGGCUGAAUUGAUGGAGAGCCCUGUGGAUCUUGUCUUGCUCUCAGUUGCACGUCUUCUCAGGCUGAACUGUAUUUGUUUCGGACUGGACAAGCUGACGAUUGGUUCCCUUAAAUCAGAACCAAUCUGGGGACUCCAACUAGUGCGCUCUUCGAGCUGAAGUUGUUCUCUUCAGCUGAGGAGUUAAGGAAACCUUCACUGGGGCUUCAAGGUGUAAAGAGGAGACCGUUUCAAAGUGUUCCAUGGUACUCUGAAGGCCGUUGUUGUGUUCCACUGGCUGGGAGGAAGAACCCUCACAUCUUCCUCUUGGCCUUCCUCCUCUGAGAAUCCUGGCGCCAUCUUGAAGGAUAUUCCAGCGCAUGUAACUUAUGUCGCGACAGAUUCUCAAACACUUGGUUUCUCCUGAGGGACUUGUCUAUAGAACUGAAGACUUCAGACAGCACUGUAUCCCAGCAUGCAUCUCUGCUCACUCAGACCACACCCUCAUGAGUAGGAUGCAACACUCUAGCGAUGGAGAUGUAGAGUUUUAUAACUAACGAGGGAGCAGACAAAGGUAAUUAGAACACAAUGGCAUGUCGAGUCUGUAAAUCUUUCAACCAUGAAGCAGGUUGGAUAGUUCAGGAAUUGGGCUUUAUUUUAUUAUGGGCAGUCCUUUCGCUCAAAUGCCCACUUCUCGCUGGACCUAUACAUGUGUUGGCUAGCUUGCAUGAUUUGCUGUUGGUGAUGAGUCGGUCAGGGUGACGUUGCAGGGCUAUGGUUGGCUCUCUGGGAGCUCAACGUUUAGAUUUGCUCUGUAUGGUUUGUACCCUGAAUAAUCUAGAUAAUUGUAAAAUGUAGACACGGUUUUGAUUUGAAUGAUUCCAUUGUUUUUAGGCAAGGAAUUGUUGUUGUUGGAUGUACCUGGUAGUUUGGUUCUUCGUGCGGUUUUGAUUGAUAUAACGUGUAUACACUAGGUGCAUAAUAAUGUAAAGGUACAAUGAAUUGUAGUUAUGACCAACAGCAACAAACGGAUCUCCUCAAGGUAAGUCUGUUGGCUGUGUUUUAAUGAAGACCAUCGCUGGACUUCAGGAUCUUCUUCCGUUCAGCUCAAGGUGAGGCGCUGGUUCUGUUUUUUCUUUGGUUGGUUCCGGCCGGAAUGUUCGGAUUCCAGUCGGACGGUUUGUGCUUCCCGCCGUGGAAGAUUUUGAGUGCGGUCACUUGAUUUAGUCCCAAUGAUUAGCAUAAUACGUUGUAGUCUUGACAACCAUUAGAAGCCACCUGGCAGUUAGUUGGACGGGAAUCUGGCUGAACGUUCUGGAUUGUAUUUGCGUAACCUUGAGCCGUUGCCAACGAAACUAUAGUUUCCAUUGGGAAUUGUGGCCCCUUAUUUUAAACAACUUAAGUUUGAUAUUAAAUACAUACUGACACGUACAUCGUACAAUAUGUUGAUAAUUUCCGAUGGUUGCGCCGUACUUUUAAUCACGUUGACGGGACUCUCGCUGCGUACCGAACAGCGUUCUACUUGCGGGCCCAUUUCUGACCAUCGGUGAAGGCUGAAAAUCAUUUCAAGGUGGAAGACAAUUUGACAUUUCUUCAACAGAACCCAUCAACUGAAUAUGGCUGAGUAAAUUUGAUUGAAUUUCAAUAAUGCUUAGUGUUCUUUGUUACUUCAGCUUUUGUACAUUCUAAAUAUCUGCUGCAUUAAUUGCCACAGAAGUUAAACCCUACCAAAUGGAAUGACGUUAAACAACGACUUUGGUGCAGAGUUACCAACUGGAUAAUAUCAAAGCUAAAAUAAUGGCCGUCCUUCCCACAUGUUACAGUAGAAGAUGCUCUAGAACUGUACAAGGUUAAAAAUGUAACAUGUAGUUUGUCCCAAGGUGUCCACCUCCUCACCCAGAGCAAGACCUCCACCUCCUCACCCAGAGCCAGACCUCCACCUCCUGUCACAAGUCCUCCAGAACAUGUCGGUGCUCUUGUGUCUGAAAGGUGAGGCCGAGAGGCUGGGGAGCGGAGGCUUGUGGUGCCAGGAUGGACCGGAGACUGAGGCUGGAGACCAGGGGCCUGCAGCACCGGACCAGAGGACCAGGAAUCCAUGGCUGUAGCAGCUGAUGGAGGAGCCGUGCUGAAGGCCCUGCCUGGUGGAGGAGCUGACGGAGGCCCUGCCUGGUGGAGGAUGUCUGUCGUGGGACCAGGACUCUGUCUGAGGAGAGCUGAUGGAGAGCUGAUGGAGGAGCUGAGACGCUGGAGGACGACUAGGAAUCAACCAACAAGGAUUCCUCAACGUGUUUCUGGAGCGGAGGCGAGCUGGUAGGGGAGCCCUGAAUCUGGAGGAUGACCAUCACUCUACCAACAAGGAUUACCAGGAGAGCUGAUGGAGGAGCCAAGACUCUGGAGGACUCCAUCACUCCAUCAACAAGGAUCCUCUUAAGUUUGCAUAAAAGAAAAACUACUACUGUCUGGAGGGCUGACGGAGAAGCCGUACAUCUGGAAGGCAAAUCCUGAGGACGACCAGGACUCUACCAUAAAGGAUUCCUCACACACCUGAGCUGAACCUCACCUGAUCCUGUUUGGUCGGGGGCAGACACACCUGAGCUGAACCCCUCCUGAUCCGGACAUCCUGCUGGUCCCGUCUCCUCAGUUCAUCUGAGCCUCGUCCUCCAGAAGACCUGCUGAGCUCAGCGGUCUGAGGCUGAGGGAUCAAUGACCUCCAGUGGGAGUGAUCUUCUUGACCCCACAUGUACCCGUGUGCUUCCACACGCCUUUCCCUGACGUCUGUCACUAACCUCACUACUUCACUACUCUCUACUCCUUCCCCUUCUUCUUCCUUCUCCGUGGUUCGAACCUUUACUCUGAAGGAGUGUCUCCUUGAACCUUUACACUGAAGGAGCGUCUUCCUGCCCUCAGAGGGUUCAGCGUUAGGGUUGAGAGUCAGGGUUUAGAGUCAGGGACAGAGCUGGUCAGGAAGGGCUGGUUUUACACAAACCUCUUCACUUGCUUUCUGAAUGGUGGUGACAUUUUGAAAAGAUUCAUUUGGGAAAAUGUUUUCCUCUGCUUUCCUUCACAAAAAUAUGUAUUCAACUUCUGUGUUUGUAACCAGACCCGGAAUCCAUGGCUGAAGGAGCUGAUGGUGGAGCCAUGCUGAAGGAGCUGGUGGAGGAGCCGUACUGGAGGCCCUGCCUGGAGGAGGAGCCGUACUGGAGGCCCUGCCUGGAGGAGGAGCCGUGCUGGAGGCCCUGCCUGGUGGAGGAGCCGUGCUGGAGGCCCUGCCUGGUGGAGGAUGUCUGUCGUGAGACCAGGACUCUGUCUGAGGAGAGCUGAUGGAGAGCUGAUUGGUCGGGGGCAGACUCACCUGAGCUGAACCUCACCUGAUCCUGUUUGGUCGGGGGCAGACUCACCUGAGCUGAACCCCUCCUGAUCCGGACAUCCUGCUGGUCCCGUCUCCUCAGUUUAUUUGAGCCUCUUCCUCCAGAAGACCUGCUGAGCUCAGCGGUCUGAGGCUGAUGUAUCAAUGACCUCCAGUGGGAGUGAUCUUCUUGACCCCACAUGUAGCCGUGUGCUUCCACACGCCUUUCCCUCACGUCUGUCACUAACCUCACUACUUCACUACUCUCUACUCCUUCCCCUUCUUCUUCCUUCUCCGUGGUUCGAACCUUUACUCUGAAGGAGGGCCUUCUUGAACGUUUACACUGAAGGAGCGUCUUCCUGCCCUCAGAGGGUUCAGCGUUAGGGUUGAGAGUCAGGGUUUAGAGUCAGGGAAAGAGCUGGAUAGGGAGGACUGGUUUUACACAAACCUCAUCACUUGCUUUCUGAAUGGUGACAUUUUGAAAAGAAUCAUCUGGGAAAAAUGUUUUACUCUGCUUUCCUUUACAAAAAUAUGUAUUGAACUUCUGUCAAGUGUUUUUGUUUAUAUAUUAAAAUCCCACAUUGACUUCUGCAUAUUUGGUGCUGUUCAUUUAACUGUCCUUUAACUUGGUUAAUGUCA